UUAUUUGCACCAGGAGAGGUAACGCAAGUGUCCUAAUAUGUUUUCAACGAGCACAAAUAUGUCGUGUGAAACAAAAAGGUAAAAGCUUGUUUUGAUUUCCAGUACAAAUACAAACCGUGAAAAUGUGGCAUAAUGAAUUCUUUACCUUUAGAGUUUGAAGUUGUGU
rfam:Oryza glaberrima chromosome 1 Oglab01_0215_14, whole genome shotgun sequence.